rnacentral:rRNA from 1 species
AGUGAACGCUGGCGGUAGGCCUAACACAUGCAAGUCGAACGGCAGCACAGUAAGAGCUUGCUCUUACGGGUGGCGAGUGGCGGACGGGUGAGGAAUACAUCGGAAUCUACUUUUUCGUGGGGGAUAACGUAGGGAAACUUACGCUAAUACCGCAUACGACCUACGGGUGAAAGCAGGGGAUCUUCGGACCUUGCGCGAUUGAAUGAGCCGAUGUCGGAUUAGCUAGUUGGCGGGGUAAAGGCCCACCAAGGCGACGAUCCGUAGCUGGUCUGAGAGGAUGAUCCGCCACACUGGAACUGAGACACGGUCCAGACUCCUACGGGAGGCAGCAGUGGGGAAUAUUGGACAAUGGGCGCAAGCCUGAUCCAGCCAUACCGCGUGGGUGAAGAAGGCCUUCGGGUUGUAAAGCCCUUUUGUUGGGAAACAAAAGCAGCAGGUUAAUACCCCGCUGUUCUGACGGUACCCAAAGAAUAAGCACCGGCUAACUUCGUG